rnacentral:rRNA from 1 species
CGACGUGAGCAAUCUGCCCUUAUCUGGGGGAUAACAGUUGGAAACGACUGAUAAUACCGCAUAACAUCGAGAGAAGGCAUCUUCUUUCGAUCAAAGAUUUAUCGGAUAAGGAUGAGCUCGCGUCUGAUUAGCUUGUUGGUGAGGUAACGGCUCACCGAGGCGACGAUCAGUAGCCGACCUGAGAGGGUGAUCGGCCACAUUGGAACUGAGACACGGUCCAAACUCCUACGGAAGGCAGCAG